UACAGAGGGGGCAAGCGUUAUUCGGAAUUAUUGGGCGUAAAGGGCGCGUAGGCGGCAAUUCAAGUCAUCUGUGAAAUCUCCGGGCUUAACUCGGAACUGUCAGAUGAUACUGCUUUGCUAGAGUGCAGAAGGGGCAAUCGGAAUUCUUGGUGUAGCGGUGAAAUGCGUAGAUAUCAAGAGGAACACCUGGAGGUGAAGACGGGUUGCUGGGCUGACACUGACGCUGAGGCGCGAAAGCCAGGGGAGCAAACGGG
rnacentral:rRNA from 1 species